GACGAACGCUGGCGGCGUGCUUAACACAUGCAAGUCGAGCGAUGAGAUCCCUUCGGGGAUGGAUUAGCGGCGAACGGGUGAGGAACACGUGAAGAAUCUGCCUUCAACUCUGGGAUAACACCGGGAAACCGGUGCUAAUACCGGAUAUGAGCCUUGAUCGCAUGAUCGGGGCUGGAAAGUUUUUCGGUUGAAGAUGACUUCGCGGCCUAUCAGCUUGUUGGUGAGGUAAUGGCUCACCAAGGCGACGACGGGUAGCCGGCCUGAGAGGGCGACCGGCCACACUGGGACUGAGACACGGCCCAGACUCCUACGGGAGGCAGCAGUGGGGAAUAUUGGGCAAUGGACGAAAGUCUGACCCAGCGACGCCGCGUGAGGGAUGAAGGCCUUCGGGUUGUAAACCUCUUUCAGCAGGGAAGAAGCGAAAGUGACGGUACCUGCAGAAGAAGCACCGGCUAACUAUGUGCCAGCAGCCGCGGUAAUACAUAGGGUGCAAGCGUUGUCCGGAAUUAUUGGGCGUAAAGAGCUCGUAGGUGGUUAGUUACGUCGGAUGUGAAAAUCUAGGGCUCAACCCUAGACCUGCAUCCGAUACGGGCUAGCUUGAGUUUGGUAGGGGAGACUGGAAUUCCUGGUGUAGCGGUGGAAUGCGCAGAUAUCAGGAGGAACACCAAUGGCGAAGGCAGGUCUCUGGGCCAAUACUGACACUGAGGAGCGAAAGUGUGGGGAGCGAACAGGAUUAGAUACCCUGGUAGUCCACACAGUAAACGAUGGGCACUAGUUGUGGGAACCUUCCACGGUUUCUGCGACGCAGCUAACGCAUUAAGUGCCCCGCCUGGGGAGUACGAUCGCAAGAUUA
rnacentral:rRNA from 1 species